rnacentral:rRNA from 1 species
AUACGUAGGAUUCGAGCGUUGUCCGGCUUUAUUGGGCGUAAAGGGUGUGUAGGCGGCAUGGCAAGUCUCAUGUGAAAUCUCCCGGCUUAACUGGGAGGGGUCAUGGGAAACUGCCAAGCUGGAGGGCAGCAGAGGAAAGCGGAAUUCCGGGAGUAGUGGUGAAAUGCGUAGAUACCCGGAGGAACACCCGAGGCGAAGGCGGCUUUCUGGGCUGUACCUGACGCUGAGACACGAAAGCGUGGGGAGCGAACAGGAUUAGAAACCCCUGUAGUCC